rnacentral:rRNA from 1 species
GACGAACGCUGGCGGCGUGCUUAACACAUGCAAGUCGAACGGAAAGGCCCUGCUUGCCGGGUACUCGAGUGGCGAACGGGUGAGUAACACGUGGGUGAUCUGCCCUGCACUUCGGGAUAAGCCUGGGAAACUGGGUCUAAUACCGGAUAGGAGCCAUUUUUAGUGUGAUGGUUGGAAAGUUUUUUCGGUGUAGGAUGAGCUCGCGGCCUAUCAGCUUGUUGGUGGGGUAAUGGCCUACCAAGGCGGCGACGGGUAGCCGGCCUGAGAGGGUGGACGGCCACAUUGGGACUGAGAUACGGCCCAGACUCCUACGGGAGGCAGCAGUGGGGAAUAUUGCACAAUGGGCGCAAGCCUGAGGCAGCGACGCCGCGUGGGGGAUGACGGCCUUCGGGUUGUAAACUCCUUUCGCUAGGGACGAAGCGUUUUGUGACGGUACCUAGAUAAGAAGCACCGGCUAACUACGUGC